CCUACGGGUCGCAGCAGUCGAGAAUCAUUCACAAUGGGGGAAACCCUGAUGGUGCGACGCCGCGUGGGGGAAUGAAGGUCUUCGGAUUGUAAACCCCUGUCAUGUGGGAGCAAAUUAAAAAGAUAGUACCACAAGAGGAAGAGACGGCUAACUCUGUGCCAGCAGCCGCGGUAAUACAGAGGUCUCAAGCGUUGUUCGGAAUCACUGGGCGUAAGGCGUGCGAAGGCUGUUUCGUAAGUCGUGUGUGAAAGGCGCGGGCUCAACCCGCGGACGGAACAUGCAACUGCGAGACUAGAGUAAUGGAGGGGGAACCGGAAUUCUCGGUGUAGCAGUGAAAUGCGUAGAUGUCGAGAGGAACACUCGUGGCGAAGGCGGGUUCCUGGACAUUAACUGACGCUGAGGCACGAAGGCCAGGGGAGCGAAAGGGAUUAGAUACCCUGGUAGUC
rnacentral:rRNA from 1 species